rnacentral:rRNA from 1 species
ACGGGCGAGCCAGCAGUAUAACUGUGUAAAGGUUUAGCGGUAGAGAGAAGCUUGCUUCUCUUGAGAGCGGCGGACGGGUGAGUAAUGCCUAGGAAUCUGCCUGGUAGUGGGGGAUAACGUUCGGAAACGGACGCUAAUACCGCAUACGUCCUACGGGAGAAAGCAGGGGACCUUCGGGCCUUGCGCUAUCAGAUGAGCCUAGGUCGGAUUAGCUAGUUGGUGAGGUAAUGGCUCACCAAGGCGACGAUCCGUAACUGGUCUGAGAGGAUGAUCAGUCACACUGGAACUGAGACACGGUCCAGACUCCUACGGGAGGCAGCAGUGGGGAAUAUUGGACAAUGGGCGAAAGCCUGAUCCAGCCAUGCCGCGUGUGUGAAGAAGGUCUUCGGAUUGUAAAGCACUUUAAGUUGGGAGGAAGGGUUGUAGAUUAAUACUCUGCAAUUUUGACGUUACCGACAGAAUAAGCACCGGCUAACUCUGUGCCAGCAGCCGCGGUAAUACAGAGGGUGCAAGCGUUAAUCGGAAUUACUGGGCGUAAAGCGCGCGUAGGUGGUUUGUUAAGUUGGAUGUGAAAUCCCCGGGCUCAACCUGGGAACUGCAUUCAAAACUGACUGACUAGAGUAUGGUAGAGGGUGGUGGAAUUUCCUGUGUAGCGGUGAAAUGCGUAGAUAUAGGAAGGAACACCAGUGGCGAAGGCGACCACCUGGACUAAUACUGACACUGAGGUGCGAAAGCGUGGGGAGCAAACAGGAUUAGAUACCCUGGUAGUCCACGCCGUAAACGAUGUCAACUAGCCGUUGGAAGCCUUGAGCUUUUAGUGGCGCAGCUAACGCAUUAAGUUGACCGCCUGGGGAGUACGGCCGCAAGGGUUAAAACUCAAAUGAAUUGACGGGGGGCCCCGCACAAGCGGGUGGAGCAUGUGGUUUAAUUCGAAGCAACGCGAAGAACCUUACCAGGCUCUUGACAUCCAAUGAACUUUUCAAGAGAUAGAUUGGGUGCCUUUCGGAAACAUUGAGAACAAGGUUGCUUGCAUGGCCUGGUCGUUCAGCCUUCGUGGUCCGUGAAGAAUGUUGGGUUAAGUUCUCCUGAUAACCGAGGCGCAACCCUUGUCCUUAGUUACCAGCACGUUAUGGUGGGCACUCUAAGGAGACUGCCGGUGACAAACCGGAGGAAGGUGGGGAUGACGUCAAGUCAUCAUGGCCCUUACGGCCUGGGCUACACACGUGCUACAAUGGUCGGUACAGAGGGUUGCCAAGCCGCGAGGUGGAGCUAAUCCCAUAAAACCGAUCGUAGUCCGGAUCGCAGUCUGCAACUCGACUGCGUGAAGUCGGAAUCGCUAGUAAUCGCGAAUCAGAAUGUCGCGGUGAAUACGUUCCCGGGCCUUGUACACACCGCCCGUCACACCAUGGGAGUGGGUUGCACCAGAAGUAGCUAGUCUAACUCUUACGCGUAACACACAUAGCCAGGAGUAACGCCCCCCCCCC